GGGGAUUUAGCUCAGUGGCACAAGCGCCUGCCUUGCAAGCAGGUAGUUGCGUGUUUGAUCCCCG
rnacentral:tRNA from 1 species